rnacentral:rRNA from 1 species
AUUGAACGCUGGCGGCAGGCUUAACACAUGCAAGUCGAACGGUAACAGGAGAAAGCUUGCUUUCUUGCUGACGAGUGGCGGACGGGUGAGUAAUGCUUGGGAAUCUGGCUUAUGGAGGGGGAUAACGACGGGAAACUGUCGCUAAUACCGCGUAGUGUCGAGAGAUGAAAGUGCGGGACCUUCGGGCCGCAUGCCAUAGGAUGAGCCCAAGUGGGAUUAGGUAGUUGGUGGGGUAAAGGCCUACCAAGCCGACGAUCUCUAGCUGGUCUGAGAGGAUGACCAGCCACACCGGGACUGAGACACGGCCCGGACUCCUACGGGAGGCAGCAGUGGGGAAUAUUGCGCAAUGGGGGCAACCCUGACGCAGCCAUGCCGCGUGAAUGAAGAAGGCCUUCGGGUUGUAAAGUUCUUUCGGUAUUGAGGAAGGUUGUUGUGUUAAUAGCACGACAAAUUGACUUAAAUACAGAAGAGC